rnacentral:sRNA from 1 species
UGAUGCGGUGACUCGAAAUGCACAUGCACAUCAAUGCCCCCUGCCGUCGCGAUCCAGCCCGGAUCUCCGGUUAUGAUCUCUGUCUCCGGACAGAUGACAAGUCCCGGUGUAAUGUCCAUGGUAUCUGGAUUUCCCGCUUUUCCGACUCCGACGAUCUUUCCGUCCUUGAUGCCCAUAUCUCCUUUUAUCACUCCAAGCACCGGAUCUAAAAAGAUCAUGUUGGUAAUGACGAGAUCCAACCCGCCUUCCUGCGCCGUAAUACCUGGUUUUUGUCCCAUUCCAUCCCG